ACUCCUACGGGAGGCAGCAGUGAGGAAUAUUGGACAAUGGGCGCAAGCCUGAUCCAGCCAUGCCGCGUGCAGGAUGACGGUCCUAUGGAUUGUAAACUGCUUUUGCACAGGAAGAAACACUCGGACGUGUCCGAGCUUGACGGUACUGUGAGAAUAAGGAUCGGCUAACUCCGUGCCAGCAGCCGCGGUAAUACG
rnacentral:rRNA from 1 species